GUCUUGGGCAGGGCUGGAGGCCUUGUAUAUAUAAUCUAAAGAUAACGAUUACAUUGUGUGUUUUAAAGAAAGCAAAAUAAGACAGUGUAUUCAAAAAGUUUUUAAAAGGGUUAGUUAUGACUAACGUCUUGUUCAACCUUGCCAUUUUUAUAGAUAAUAAAAUUUAUAUUAAAGCCAUAACAACUUGAUUUAUUUAUCUUACUAGAAUUCAAUUUGGACCUAAUGAAGAGAUUGGAAGGGACAAAGCGUUGCUGAAGAUGCAGAUUGCCAGACAUUGUCAUCUCUGACCCUUGCACUUCAGAAAAUAGUGGAGAGGACAUAGCUUUGCAUCACAUCACAAGAGUGCUCCUAUCCCUUGGGACUCUGGUCCUGUACCCACAGGGCACUGGUUCAGGGGUUCACAUUGUCUCCUGAAGUCAGGACACACCGACCUCUAUUGGAAAGUACAAAGGCCACAGCUCUCCUCCCUUGUAUUCAAUAGUAUUGUGCCCGGUGGCAUCUUCUCUUCCUAGUCUCCAGUAUAUGCUGAAGUAGUUGCUCAAGUCCAGAUCAGAAGUACCUGUAUUACUGUGUAUAAAAUUGUUAGGCAGACUGUUAAAUUGCAGAUUCUUUGGCUGGGAUCCAUGAAGAGUGUGUUUGGUGUGAAGCCAGGUAAUAUUGAGGCAGAUGGCCCUGUAAGCCGUACUGCCUCAGAGAAAUUCUUCAGAUCCAGGGCCAGCCCACCCUACUGCCUCUGUUCCUUCCACCUGGCUUUUGUUAGUGUUUGCAUAGCCCUUCCCUGCUUCGAUUAUACAGUGGCAUGAUUCUCUACCAUAUAUCAGAGCCCUGUUUUAACAACAUGCUCCAGGACCAUGACGCCCAUGGUACAAGGUGAUAGUUUAAUCACAUUUCAAGCUAGCUUCAAAGGAAUUCACCAAAUGGUUUCAUUUACAAAUAAGAAUAUUUCCAAAAUGUCUAAGUGCUACUUUCAUAAAUAUCCUUCCUAUGACUUAAUUUAUGAAAUUUUUUUCAAAAGAUGUUUUGUACUAAAUAAUUUGACUUGAGGCAAUUUUCAGCUGUUUGUGGAACUAGAAGGUGAAUGGUUUAAGGAGGCUGAUGAUGUGGGAUGUCUUUCUGUAUUCUGUGAAUAUGUGUUACUCCCAUUGGCUAAUAAAUAAAGCUGCAUUGGCCUACGGCAGGGCAGGAUGGAGCCAGGCGGGGAAAUCCAAGAGAGAAAGUAAAAUGAGAAAGGAGAGUGGGGAGAGAUGCCAAACUGCCGUCCAAGGAUCAACAUGUAAUGGGACACAGGACCAAGUGGCUGUGGUACUUGAGUGGGAGAGAUUUGUCCUGACUGCCGGCCAGGUAGAACCGGAGAAACUUCAGGCUACAGGUUGAUGUCUCCAUCAUUUGGCUUCUAUGAUAGUCCUGCUGGCCAGCUCUUUCCCUUUGUAACCCAUGUCUCAGUCAAUGCCCAGCAGCAACUGCACUGAUUCUCUCCGAGUGUACAGUGGUCAAUCUUGACUGUCGACUUGAUUUAGAAUCACCUUGGAGAUACACCCUAAAGGGAGGUCUGAGGGUGUUUUCAGAGAAAGUUAACCGAGGAGGAGGGAAGACUCCCUGAAGGGGCUGGGCUUUCACUCUGAACACAAAGGAGGAAGCUAGCCGAGCAGAGACAACCAUCUUCUGCUUCCUGACCAUGGGUGCAAUGUGAGCAACUACCACCUGCUUCUGCCGCCAUGAUGAACCGCUUCUGCCGCCAUGAUGAACUGCAUCCGCAAACUACCAACCCCAA